rnacentral:rRNA from 1 species
AGAGUUUGAUUAUGGCUCAGGAUGAACGCUGGCGGCGUGCUUAACACAUGCAAGUCGAACGGGCUCAUAUUGAAACCUAGUGAUGUAUGAGUUAGUGGCGGACGGGUGAGUAACGCGUGGAGAACCUGCCGUAUACUGGGGGAUAACACUUAGAAAUAGGUGCUAAUACCGCAUAAGCGCACAGCUUCGCAUGAAGCAGUGUGAAAAACUCCGGUGGUAUACGAUGGAUCCGCGUCUGAUUAGCUGGUUGGCGGGGUAACAGCCCACCAAGGCGACGAUCAGUAGCCGGCCUGAGAGGGUGAACGGCCACAUUGGGACUGAGACACGGCCCAAACUCCUACGGGAGGCAGCAGUGGGGAAUAUUGCACAAUGGGGGAAACCCUGAUGCAGCGACGCCGCGUGAGUGAAGAAGUAUUUCGGUAUGUAAAGCUCUAUCAGCAGGGAAGAAAAUGACGGUACCUGACUAAGAAGCCCCGGCUAACUACGUGCCAGCAGCCGCGGUAAUACGUAGGGGGCAAGCGUUAUCCGGAUUUACUGGGUGUAAAGGGAGCGUAGACGGCAGCGCAAGUCUGAAGUGAAAUCCCAUGGCUUAACCAUGGAACUGCUUUGGAAACUGUGCAGCUGGAGUGC